UACGUAGGAAGCGAGCGUUGUUCGGAGUUACUGGGCGUAAAGCGUGCGCAGGCGGUUUUGUAAGCCAGAUGUGAAAUCCCCGGGCUUAACCUGGGAAUGGCAUUUGGGACUGCAAGGCUGGAGUGCGGCAGAGGAGACUGGAAUUCCUGGUGUAGCAGUGAAAUGCGUAGAUAUGCGGAGGAACACCGAUGGCGAAGGCAAUCCCCUGGGCCUGCACUGACGCUCAUGCACGAAGGCGUGGGGAGCAAACAGG
rnacentral:rRNA from 1 species